GACGAACCGUGCGAACGUUGUUCGGAAUCACUGGGCUUAAAGGGCGCGUAGGCGGGUCACCAAGUCCGGGGUGAAAUCUUCGGCUUAACCGGAAACUGCCUUGGAUACUGGUGACCUCGAGGAGGUAGGGUCUGCGGAACUUCUGGUGGAGCGGUGAAUGCGUUGAUAUCAAGAAGGAACGCCGGUGGCGAAAGCGGCGGACUGGACCUCCACU
rnacentral:rRNA from 1 species